GGGGAAGGAACAUGGCUCAGUGGUAGAGCACCUGCUCUGCAUGCAGAAUGUCCCAAGUUUAAUCUCUAGUGUCUCCA